UACGGAGGGUGCAAGCAUUAAUCGGAAUCAUUGGGCGUAAAGGGCGCGUAGGCGGAAUAACAAGUCAAGUGUGAAAUUUUGGGGCUCAACCCCAGAGCAGCACGUGAAACUGUUAAUCUAGAGGUAAGGCGGAGGGAAUGGAAUUCCACGUGUAGCGGUGAAAUGCGUAGAUAUGUGGAGGAACACCUGUGGCGAAAGCGGUUUUCUAGCUUUAACCUGACGCUGAGGCGCGAGAGCAAGGGGAUCAAACAGG
rnacentral:rRNA from 1 species